UGUUUUAUUACCUCCGCCAAGGAGGUUUUGUUUUCCGUAGCAUUGGUUUGUUUGUUUGUUUGUUUGUCUGUUAGCAACUUUACGGAGAAAGUAACAGACGGAUUGACCUGAAAUUUUCACCAGAGGUGCGUCUCAGCCCCAGGAGGAUCCCAUUAAAUUUUGGUGGUGAUCCGGACAAAAUUCUGGAUACUGUGAUCCAGAACACACUAAAAUAAGGGUGUCGUUGGAAUUUUCAAUGCUGAAAGGUAACCAAUGGGCGGCACAGUGGUGUAGUGGUUAGCACUGUCGCCUCACAACCAGAAGGUCCUGGGUUUGAAUCCCGGUCAGGGUGUUUCUUGUUUAAGGGGGGACAUGAGCUGCUUGG